rnacentral:tRNA from 1 species
GGGCCCGUCGUCUAGCCUGGUUAGGACGUCGCCCUUACACGGCGAAGGCCCUGGGUUCAAAUCCCAGCGGGCCCA